UGCAUCAUAAGCCGGUUGAAUUCCGGCUCAAUUCAUUCCGGAAAAUUUUUAAGUUUCUGGACUCUCGUUAUUGUAUUGUAUGAGUUUUGGUCUAUGCAUAUAGCUGCAGUAAUAUUAAAUCAGUAUUGUCUGUUGCUGACAAUUUGCAUAAGUACAAAUAAAUCUUGAGUGCAAUUGUUUGAUGUUAAGAUGUUAAGUUUGAUGCCAACACGGAUAUUUAAAGUCCUGCUUAAACAUAAAAGUAUUUUUAUGUUGUAUCAGUUAUAACAUAGUGAUAUAUAAUAACUUCAAGGACAUAUUAAAGUAAGAUAGUACCACUAUCGGAUUUGAUAUGGACGAAGACGAUGAAUAUGAUGUAUAUUUAACGGACAACGAAAGGGUAUCAUCUUCGACUAGCGAUAAGAAAAAGAAGAAAUAUUCUCAGAAAUAUAGAUCUGAAUGGGAAAACCACAACGAAUUUAAAUCGUGGCUUAAAAGAAGUAAUAAAGGUUUAAGUUAUUUUCAUUGUAAAAUAUGUUCAGUAGAUUGCAUUGGUGGAUUGGAUGCAAUUAAAAAGCAUGCCGCAUCUAUAAAACAUAUAAAAACGGUAAAGUCUGUUCAAAUGCCAGUAAUAAAUAUGCAAUUUGUUAAAAAAGCCAAAGAAACAAUGUCCAAAACCAAAGAUUUUGAAUAUAAAAUUGCAUCAUUUAUUACAGAGCAUGAUAUUUCAUUUAAUACUUGUGACCAUUUAACCAAAUUAAUCAAAAGUAUUAAUCCCGAUGCCGAAGCUGUGCAAAAUAUAAAAUGCAAUAGAACUAAAUGUACUCAAUUAAUAAAAGAUGUUAUAGGCCAAAAAGCUUUUGAAGAAAUUAUUGCUAAACUCAAAAUUCACAAAUUUUCGUUGAUAGUAGAUGAAAGCACUGAUCAUAACUGUGUAAAAC